UACGAGGGGGGCAAGCGUUGUUCGGAAUUAUUGGGCGUAAAGGGCGCGUAGGCGGUGCGGUAAGACUGUGGUGAAAUCUUCGGGCUCAACUCGAAGCCUGCCGCGGUGACUGCCGUGCUCGAGUGUGGGAGAGGUGAGUGGAAUUCCCGGUGUAGCGGUGAAAUGCGUAGAUAUGGGGGAGAACACUCGUGGCGAAGGCGGCCAGCUAGACCAGUUCUGACACUGAGGCGCGACAGCGUGGGGAGCAAACAGG
rnacentral:rRNA from 1 species